UUAAGGUGCCAUUUCACCCUGCAGCCCAAGACCGGUUACUCACUGAAGCUAAGCAGGGCUGAGCCUGGUCAGUACCUGGAUGGGAGACCUCUAGGGAACACUAGGUUGCUGUUGGAA
rnacentral:rRNA from 1 species